rnacentral:rRNA from 1 species
GAAGUAAAAGUCGUAACAAGGUUUCCGUAGGUGAACCUGCGGAAGGAUCAUUAAUAAACCUAGUCGUUCGCGUACAUAGGGGCAACCCUCGCGUGAUGUCAGCAAUACCUAGGUAACCCUUGAAUAAACUACCCUUGUUGCUUUGGCGGGCCGCCGUCUCGGCCAGCGGCUUCGGCUGCUGCGCGCCCGCCAGAGGACCACAACUCUUGUUUUUAGUGAUGUCUGAGUACUAUAUAAUAGUUAAAACUUUCAACAACGGAUCUCUUGGUUCUGGCAUCGAUGAAGAACGCAGCGAAAUGCGAUAAGUAAUGUGAAUUGCAGAAUUCAGUGAAUCAUCGAAUCUUUGAACGCACAUUGCGCCCUUUGGUAUUCCGAAGGGCAUGCCUGUUCGAGCGUCAUUAUAACCACUCAAGCUCUCGCUUGGUAUUGGGGUGCGCGGUUCCGCGGCCUCUAAAGUCAGUGGCGGUGCCUGUCGGCUCUACGCGUAGUAAUACUCCUCGCGUCUGGGUCCGGUAGGUUGCUUGCCAACAACCCCCAAAUUUUUACAGGUUGACCUCGGAUCAGGUAGGGAUACCCGCUGAACUUAAGCAU